AAAGUCGUAACAAGGUAACCGUAGGUGAACCUGCGGUUGGAUCAUUACUGAUUUUGUCGGUUGGGUCGAGUCUCUUAGGAGAUUCCUCAACUGACGAUAAACCACUGUGCACCAAAUUGUAUUUUGGGUCUUGCUCUUACCAGCGGGGCCCAGCAUAAUGAACCAAUGAAAUUUUUUGUCUAAAAUAUCUAGUAAUAGAAACAACUUUUGACAACGGAUCUCUUGGCUCUC
rnacentral:misc_RNA from 1 species